GUUUUUCAUUGUGGUCCUGUCUUAACAUUUAAGUUCCAACAAGUCAGCCAAAUAAAUUGCAAAAUAAGUAAUAUCGUUUUUUAACAUACUGUUUAUUUUUUGUUUUCUGUUUCAUUUUUUCUUCUGUAGGAGCUUCAAGUCUCUCAGGUGGUGUCAUUGCUGCAAUAGUGAUUGCAUCCUUGAUAGCUGCUGCUCUAGUAGCUUCUGGAGGCUUCUUUAUUCAUAAGAGAGCUACAUGUUUAUGAGGACAUGUCAGACUUGUAUGAUAGAAGGAUAUAAAAUCUCCUGUUUUUAUUCCCUAAAUGAUCAUCAAAAAGUAAGAAACCGAGGUAGCAUAUUACCAUCUGGAAAAGGAGAAAAAUAAUGAAUAUUAGUACUGCACAUUUGUUUGACAAGGCUGUUUUUAUGGUACUUUUAUUUUAGAUGUUUACAUUUAUUUCAAUAAACUACAUAUUCUUGCAAGUUGCACAGUCUCAUUAGAAGAAAUGAUUAGCUCAGAAAUAGUAUUUAUAGUCUUUAAAGCUUUGGUCAGGGUUUUAUUGUUUGUACUUUGUAACACAUUUUCAGAUAGUGUCUCAGGCGUAAAGGUCAUUCGUCAAACUGGGUUUUUAGAAUAUUCAUGUUAUUUUUUUCUAAUCUAAUUUUAUUGGUAUUGAAACAUACUGCAGUCACUAUGUUUCUUCCUCUGUUUAAGUGUAGUUCAAUUAGAAAAUAUGUUAAUUUGUGUUACUUUGACAAAAUGAGGAGAGGAGAAUGAUUGACCUUUUUUGCCAAUUUGUUAGCUUAAAAAAACUAUGCAAAUUUAUAUUGUAAUUUUUGAAGUGGUGCCAAGCAUCAAUGAUUUGUAAUUAUUGCUAGAAGCUACUCAAUGAGAAGCAAUAAAAGUUGCUGAUAUUUAGUUUUAUGUACUUAAGUAAUAGCAAACGUGGUUUUUGUUCUUUUUGUAUAUUCUGUUUUGUUGUUUAUUAAAAUUGAUGCAUGUCCAUUUAUGAAUCCAUGACACUUGAGCUUUAUCUUGUGCCAAAAUCUAGAAAAAAUGUGUUGUAAUUUGUAAGUCUAAAAACUCACAAAUUCUGGUAACUGUAUUUUCAAAUAAAUGUGUUACCUUAAUCACAUAACAUCAUGCCAAACAUGUCUGACAUUUGUUUAUUUACCAAAUAAAUCCAUAUGUCCUUUAUUUUCUUCAUAGCACUGAAGUCGG